rnacentral:rRNA from 1 species
AACGUAGGAGACAAACGUUAUCCGGAGUUACUGGGCGUAAAGGGCGUGUAGGCGGUAUGUUAAGUCUGGCGUGAAAGCUCUCGGCUAAACCGGGAGAGGUCGUUGGAUACUGGCAAACUAGAGGAUGGUAGAGGCGUGUGGAAUUCCUGGUGUAGCGGUGGAAUGCGCAGAUAUCAGGAGGAACACCGAUGGCGAAGGCAGGUCACUGGGCCGCAACUGACGCUGAGGAGCGAAAGCAUGGGGAGCGAACAGG